CUGGCUCAGAUUGAACGCUGGCGGCAGGCUUAACACAUGCAAGUCGAGCGGGGGAAGGUAGCUUGCUACUGGACCUAGCGGCGGACGGGUGAGUAAUGCUUAGGAAUCUGCCUAUUAGUGGGGGACAACAUCUCGAAAGGGAUGCUAAUACCGCAUACGUCCUACGGGAGAAAGCAGGGGAUCUUCGGACCUUGCGCUAAUAGAUGAGCCUAAGUCGGAUUAGCUAGUUGGUGGGGUAAAGGCCUACCAAGGCGACGAUCUGUAGCGGGUCUGAGAGGAUGAUCCGCCACACUGGGACUGAGACACGGCCCAGACUCCUACGGGAGGCAGCAGUGGGGAAUAUUGGACAAUGGGGGGAACCCUGAUCCAGCCAUGCCGCGUGUGUGAAGAAGGCCUUAUGGUUGUAAAGCACUUUAAGCGAGGAGGAGGCUACUUUAGUUAAUACCUAGAGAUAGUGGACGUUACUCGCAGAAUAAGCACCGGCUAACUCUGUGCCAGCAGCCGCGGUAAUACAGAGGGUGCGAGCGUUAAUCGGAUUUACUGGGCGUAAAGCGUGCGUAGGCGGCUUAUUAAGUCGGAUGUGAAAUCCCCGAGCUUAACUUGGGAAAUUGCAUUCGAUACUGGUGAGCUAGAGUAUGGGAGAGGAUGGUAGAAUUCCAGGUGUAGCGGUGAAAUGCGUAGAGAUCUGGAGGAAUACCGAUGGCGAAGGCAGCCAUCUGGCCUAAUACUGACGCUGAGGUACGAAAGCAUGGGGAGCAAACAGGAUUAGAUACCCUGGUAGUCCAUGCCGUAAACGAUGUCUACUAGCCGUUGGGGCCUUUGAGGCUUUAGUGGCGCAGCUAACGCGAUAAGUGACCGCC
rnacentral:rRNA from 1 species